ensembl:lncRNA
CUUUUUUUCAUCAAAUUCCAAACAGACACGUGUCCUGUGUACAUAUGUAGGAAUCUGGAGAACAGAUUUCAACUGCAACAAAAUGUAAAGCAAUGAAAACCAGAACGUCAUGCAUUCAGUCUGAUUGGGAUGUAUUUGUCCUGAAUUUAGCUGCAGGUUUUUCUGCUCCAUGUCUGGAUUCUUUGGGUUACAGUGAGAAGAAGUUUCCUUGUUGCUGCUGUUGGGAUGGUGACCCUGUUUCACCGCCAGGACUUCAAUAAAGUGGACAGUUAGAAGUGAAAGAGCUUCAGCUGCUCAGAGCAGCGGCUCAGGUUCCUCCUCUAAUUAUCCAAUCAGCAGGCGGCUCCAGGUGUUCAGCAGCUUUAUCAUCCUCAGGUGAGGCGGCAGUCUGCAGCAGCUUCCAGCCGCUCUUCGGUGCUUCCCGGCGGGCAGAGAGCAGCGCAGUGGACCGGAGCAUGUCGGCGGUUAACAGACGGAUGACGAUGGCCUGGGUUUGGCCCGCUUUGGUGCUUCUAGCCCGGCUCACCACGGCAGAGGAACCGCGUCGGGACGCACACGGGGCUUUGGCCGGCUCCAAGGCGCUGAUCUCGGACUCCGAGCCGCCGAUGGAGACCCGCAGCGGGGGAGGCCUCCUGCCGGUGCUGGUGUGGAAGUUUGUGAAAGAUGCUGCAGAUGCAUCAGAUUUGGGCCGACCGCAGUUUCUCUGCAGCGACACGUCACUCUCUGUUCGCUUGUCGCUCAUCCGAUACUCUGACCUGCAUCUGCAAGAUGGGAGGAGGUUGGCGUGGCUGCAGCAGGGAUGUGAUGGUUCUGUUGGGACCGUGGGGCCGUGGCUGCUGCUGAAGCUGCCUUACACCAGCUGCCAUGUGACGUCACAGGUUUCAAAUGGAACGUGGUUCCACCAGUUGAAGCUGCGUUACUUCGACCACCUGCUGCGGGAGAACAUGACGGCUGUGGUCGCCUGUGAGGAUCCUGCAACGUGGACCCUGCCGGCGGUGAGCUGCAGGAGCACAGAAGUGGCUGUGAAACUGCCUCAGGGAAGCAGACUGCAGAAGGUGAAGGCUCUGGGGAAAGAUGUGGUGGUUGGGAGGGUGCAGACCACCACUACUCCAGGGCCAGUGUUGGUGCAGAUCUCCACACCGGCAGACAAGGACUCCAUGUUUGAAGUGAACUAUUUGGACUCGGCUGGGGAGAUGUCCAUGAUGCUGGCGGCUUGUUUCAGUGCAGCCAGAGGAGAUGGGCGGGAUCGUCAGCGCAGAGCUCUGCAACACCAGGACCAGAGGGACUGGGUGGUGAAUCCUCGUCAUUGGCACAAUGUGGAACCCCGACAGACGGGCCAUAUUCAGAAGACGAAAUCGCAAAUUCUCCUUCAUCAACCACGUCUGAGGAUCCAAAUACCACACACAGAGUUUCCACAGCCCCACAGCCAAUGACCACAUCCAGUGCCUUCACCACUACUCAGCCGAUGACGACAUCCACAGCCUCAUCGACCAGGCAACCAGCAACCACAGCCAGAGCGUCAUCGUCCACUCAGCAGAAAACCACGUCCAGUGCAUCAUCAACAACAACCUCCAGUACCUCCACAAUGCAGCCAAGGACCACAUCCAAACCCUCCAUGAGCACUCAGCAGACCACUGCAUCUACAACUAUUGAGACAACAACCACAUACAGGGCCUCUACAGCUAUGCAGCCAAUGAUCAGAACCAGUGACUUCACCACUAUGCAGCUGGCACCCACAUCCAGAGACUCCACGACCAGUCAUCAGGCAUCCACCAUAUCUACAACCACCCAAGCAAAAACCACAUCUGCAUCUACACAGCCAACAACCACAUCCAGAGCGUCAUUGCCAAUACUCAGCACCUCCACAACCAUGCACGCAAUGGCCACAUCUACAACACCUGUGACCACAAUCACAUCCAGACCCUCUAGGCCUCAAGUCUCAUCAAACACGCAGUCAACAAUCACAGCCAGAUUGUCACUGAUGACUCAGCAGAAAACCAUGUCUACUGGAUCUACGAUGACUCAGACAACAACCACAUCGGCUUCUACACAGACAACAACAUCCAGCACCUCUACAACCAUUCAAUCAAUGACCAAACAUAGCACAUCUACAACUGGGCAGCCAACAACAACAUACAGAGACUCAUCAACCACUCGGCAGAAAACCACAUGCAGCAGAUCUACAACCACUCAGUCAAAAAACACAUUCAUAUUAACACAGCCAACUGCAACAUCCAGGGCCUCAAUGGCCACUCAACCAAGGACCACAUCUGGGUCUUCCAUGACCACUCAAAGGACAACCAUAUCCAGUGCAUCUACGACUAAGCAGCUGAGGUCAACAUCAAGAGCCUCCACAACAGCUCAGCAGGAAACAGCAUCCAGUACACCUACAACCACUCAAGCAAGGACCACGUCCACUCAUAAGACAGCCACAUCCAGUGCAUCUACGACUAUGCAACAGAGAUCAACAUCUAGCACCUUCACAACAGCUCAGCAGGGAACAACUUCCAGCUCAUCCACUGAGCAGACAACCACAUCCACCAGAACUCAGAUUACUCAAGAGACAACUACAUCUACACAUCCACCAAGCACAUUCGACAAGUCAUUGGCCACUCAGCCAAAGGAUACAUCCAAAUUCUCAAAUUCCACUCAGACCACCAGAUCCAAUGCAACUACAAUGACACAGCUGAGGUCAACCUUCUGUGUCUCCACAACAGGUCAGCAAGCAACAAUGUCCAGUUCAUCUAUGACCACACAGCCAAAUACCACAUCUGGAUUCUCCACAACCACUGAGCAGACAACCACAUCCACCAGAAGUCUGAUGAUUCAGGAGACAACCACACCGACAUCUGCAAAGCCACGAAGCACAUCCAGUGUGUCUUGGACCACUCAGGAGACAAACGCAUUCACCGGACCUAUGAACACUCAGCCAAGGACCACAUCUGGAUCCUCCAUAUCCACUCAAAAGACAACCAUAUCCAGUGCACCUACAUCUAUGCAGCUGAGGUCAACAUCCAGCAUCUCCAUAACAGCUCAGGAGGCAACAGCUUCCAGCGUAUCCAUGAACACAAAGCAGACAACCACACAUGCAUCUACACAGCCACCAAGCACAUCCAGUGUGUCACUGACCACUCAGCAGAGAACCACAUUCACUGGAUCGAUGAUUGCUCAGCCAAGGUCCACAUCUGGAUCUUGCACAGCCACUCAGCCAACAACCACUUCCAGGUCAUCAAUGGCCAUCUGGCCAAUGAUCACAUCCAGAUCCUCCACGUCCAGUCAACCAUCAACCACAUCUAGUGCCACCAAGUCCCCUCAGCAGGAAACCACCUCCAUCAUGUCUACAAUUACUCAAGCAACAACUACAUCUUCAUCUGCACAGUCAACAACCACAUCCAACACACCAGUGAUCACUCAGCAGAGAACCACAUUCACCGGAUCUAAGACCACCCAGCCAAGGACCACAUCUGGAUCCUCCACAUCCACUCAACAGACAACCAUAUCCAGAGCAUCUAUGAUCAUUCAGCCAAGGACCACAUUUGGAUUCUCAACAGCCACUCAAGCGAUAGCCACAUCCAGUGCACCUACAACUACACAAAUGAGAUCAACAUCCAGCGCCUCCACAUCAGCUCAGGAGGCAACAACUUCCAGCACCUCCACAACAGUUCAGCAGGCAACUACGUCCAGUACAUCCACAAUCACUGAACAGACAACCACAUCCAACAGAUCUCUAAUCACUCAGGAGAUGACUACAUCUGCAUCCACACAGCCACCAAGUACAUCCAGUGGGUCAUUGAUCACUCAGCAGAGAACCACAUUCACCAGAUCUGAGAGAACUCAGCCAAGGACCACAUCUGGAUCCUCCACAUCCACUCCAAAGACAACCAUAUUCAGUCCACCUACAACUACACAGGUGAGAUCAACAUCCAGCGUCUCCACAACAGCUCAGCAGGCAACAACUUCCAGCGGAUCCAUGACCACAAAGCAGACAACCACACAUGCAUCUACACAGCCACCAAGCACAUUCAGUGUGUCAUUGACCACUCAGGAGAGAGCCAGAUUCACUGGAUCAACGGUUGCUCAGCCAAGGUCCACAUCUGGAUCUUGCACAUCCACUCAGCCAACAACCACUUCCAGGGCAUCAACAACCACUUGGCCAAUGAUCACAUCCGGAUCCUCCACGUCUACUCAACCAUCAACCACAUCUAGUGCCUCCAAAAACUUUCAGCAGGCAACCACCUCCACCAUGUCUACAAUUACUCAAGCAAUAACUACAUCUUCAUCUGCACAGUCAGCAACCACAUCCAGUGCAUCAAUGUGCACUCAGCAGAGAACCAUAUUCACUGAAUCUAAGGCAACCCAGUCAAAGAGAAUAUCUGGAUACUCCACAUCCACUCAACAGACAACCACACCCAGAGCAUCGAUAAACAUUCAGCCAAGUACCACAUCUGGAUUCUCAACAUCCACUCAAAAGACAGCCAUAUCCAGGGCACCUAUGACUACGCAGCUGAGGUCAACAUCCAGCGCCGAGCAGGCAACAACGUCCAGUGCAUCUACAACCUCUCGGCCAAGGACCACAUCAACUAAAGAGACAAUCGCAUCCAGUGCAUCUACAACUAUGCAGCUGAGUUCAACAUCUAGUGCCUCUUCAACAGCUCAGCAGGUAACAACUUCUAGCGCAUCCACAACCACAGAUCAGUCAACCACAUCCACCAGAACUCAGGUUACUCAAGAUACAACCAAACCUACAUCUGCACAGCCAUCAAGCCCAUACAGCAUGUCACUGACUACUCAGCAGAGGACCACAUUCACUGGAUCUAAGACCACUCAGCCAAGGUUCACAUCUGGAUUCUUGACAUCCACUCAAAAGACAACCACAUCUAGUGUAUCUUCGACUACGCAGCUGAAGUCAACAUCCAGCACCUCAACAACAACUCAGCACUCAACCACCUCCAGUGCCUACAUGACCACUGAGCAGACAGCCACAUCCACCAGAUCUCCCACCACUCGGGAGACAACUGCAUCUGUAUCUGUAUCCACAUUGACAAUGCAACAGAAGACCACAUUCAUGGGAUCUAUGACCACUCAGCCAAAGGACACAUACGAAAUCUCCACUUCCACUCAGACGACGACUACAUCCAGAUCCUCCACGUUGACUCAACUGGCAACCUUAGCCAGUGCAUCUCGGAUGACUCAGCCAAGGACCACAUCCUUAUCCUCAACAUCCCCUCGACAGACAACCACAUCCAGUGAAUCUAGAACAACUAAAUCAAUUACCAUGUCCACUCAAAAGACCACUACAUCCAAUGCAUGUCAAACCACUGAGCCAAGGACCACAUCUGGAUCAUCGAUAUCCACUCAAAAGACAAUCAUAUCCAGUGCACCUACAUCGACACAGCUAAAGUCAACAUCCAGUGCCUCCUCAACAGCUCAGCACGCCACCAUGUCCAGUGCAUCUACAACCAUUCAGCCAAGGACCACAUCUGGGUUUUCCACGACCACUCAAAUGACAACGAUAUCCAGUGCAUCUACAACUAUACAGCUUAGGUUAACAUCGAGGGCCUUCACAACAGCUCAUCAGGCAACAACUACCAGUGACUGUACGACCACUCAGUCAAAAACCACAGUCGGAUUCUUUACAACAGCUCAUAAGGCAACCAUAUCCAGUGCACCAACGACUACACAGCUGAGAUCAACCUCCAUUGUCUCCACAAAUGUUUGGCAGGCAACAACAUCCAGUGCAUCUACAACCCCUGAGCCAAGGACCACAUCCACUCAAAACACAACCCCAUCCAGUGGAUCUAUGAUCACUCAACCAAGGAGCAUGUCCACUCAAAAGACAACCAUAUUCAAUAUGCCUACAAUGACUCUGCUGAUGUUAACAUCCAGCUCCACCACAACAACUCAGCAGGCCCCAAAGUCCAAUGCAUCUAUAACCACUCAGCCAAAGACCACAUCCAGAUUCCCGACAACAGCUCAGCAGGCAACCACAUCCAGCACAUCCACGACCACUGAGCAGACAACCACAUCUACCAGAACUUGGGAGACCCAGGAGACAAUCGCAUCAGCAUCUACACAGCCACCAAGCACAUUCAACACAUCAUUGACCACUCAGCAGAGAACCAUCUUCACUGGUUCUAAGACCACCCAGCCAAGGACCACAUCCGGAUCCUCCACGUCCACUCAACAGACAACCACAUCCAGUGCAUCUGAGAUGACGCAGCUGAAGUCAGCAUCUAGCGUCUCCGCAACAGCUCAGCAGGCAACAACGUUGAGUGACUCUAUGACCACUCAGCCAACAAUCACAUCUAGAUUCCACCCAACAGCUCAGCAGGCAACCACAUCCACCAGAACUCCAAUGACUCAGGAGACAAUGACAUCAGCAUCUGCACCUGCACAGCGACCAAGCACAUCCAGCGAUUCCAAGGAUGACGACGAUGAUUCCAAGGAGGAAGGCGACGAC